UGUAUUCUUUGUACCAGGAGCACUGCUGC
rnacentral:sRNA from 1 species